GCGGAAGUGGUGAAAUUGGUAUACACGCAACCUUGAGGUGGUUGUGCUUUCGGGCAUGGGGGUUCAAGUCCCCCCUUCCGCACCA
rnacentral:tRNA from 1 species